GACGAACGCUGGCGGCGUGCUUAACACAUGCAAGUCGAACGGAAAGGCCCUGCUUUUGUGGGGUGCUCGAGUGGCGCACGGGUGAGUAACACGUGAGUAACCUGCCCUUAACUUUGGGAUAACUUCAGGAAACUGGGGCUAAUACCGGAUAGGAGCUCCUGCUGCAUGGUGGGGGUUGGAAAGUUUCGGCGUUUGGGGAUGGACUCGCGGCUUAUCAGCUUGUUGGUGGGGUAGUGGCUUACCAAGUCUGUGACGGGUAGCCGGCCUGAGAGGGUGACCGGCCACAUUGGGCCUGAGGGACGGCCCAGAAGGGUACGGGAGGCAGCAGUCGGGAAUAUUGCACAACGGGCGGAAGCGUGAGGCAGCAACCCUGCGUGCGUGAUGACGGGCUACUGGUGAUAAACAGCUGUCGAAGGAGAUGAAGCCGGAGUGACGGUACCGAGUAAAGAAGCACCGGCUAACUACGUG
rnacentral:rRNA from 1 species